CUGCAUGCGGUAGGCUUCGGCUUCAAUGGAUUCGGCUCCCCUUGGGCCCUCGUCGCCUCGCCUUCAGGGUCGUGCACUCGUGCCGCCACCGUCAGCCCCCAUCGCCGUCUCUGGGCCCCUGAGAGGAGCAUGACCCGAGCCUCCACCCUUGUCGCCAGGAGAACGGGGCUACUCCGCCACCUCGGCUUCCUUAAGGGCCGACCUAGCACCCCCGCCCCCUCGUCGCCUCCACAUCUUCAAGGUUGUGCCGCCAAAGCUGGCCUCCAUAGCCUGCACUGGACCCCUGAUUGGAGCACGACCUAA
rnacentral:misc_RNA from 1 species